rnacentral:rRNA from 1 species
GCAGGCGGUUCCUUAAGUCUGAUGUGAAAGCCCCCGGCUCAACCGGGGAGGGUCAUUGGAAACUGGGGAACUUGAGUGCAGAAGAGAAGAGUGGAAUUCCACGUGUAGCGGUGAAAUGCGUAGAGAUGUGGAGGAACACCAGUGGCGAAGGCGACUCAUUGGUCUGUAACUGACGCUGAGGCGCGAAAGCGUGGGGAGCAAACAGGAUUAGAUACCCUGGUAGUCCACGCCGUAAACGAUGUCGACUUGGAGGUUGUGCCCUUGAGGCGUGGCUUCCGGAGCUAACGCGUUAAGUCGACCGCCUGGGGAGUACGGCCGCAAGACUGACACUCAAAGGAAUGGACGGGGGCCCGCACAAGCGGAGGAGCAUGUGGUUUAAUUCGAAGCAACGCGAAGAACCUUACCAGGUCUUGACAUCUCCUGACAACCCUAGAGAUAGGGCGUUCCCCUUCGGGGGACAGGAUGACAGGUGGUGCAUGGUUGUCGUCAGCUCGUGUCGUGAGAUGUUGGGUUAAGUCCCGCAACGAGCGCAACCCUUGAUCUUAGUUGCCAGCAUUCAGUUGGGCACUCUAAGGUGACUGCCGGUGACAAAACCGGAGGAAGGUGGGGAUGACGUCAAAUCAUCAUGCCCCUUAUGACCUGGGCUACACACGUGCUACAAUGGAUGGUACAAAGGGCUGCGAGACCGCGAGGUUAAGCGAAUCCCAUAAAACCAUUCUCAGUUCGGAUUGCAGGCUGCAACUCGCCUGCAUGAAGCCGGAAUCGCUAGU